GACGAACGCUGGCGGCGUGCUUAACACAUGCAAGUCGAACGGAAAGGCCCUGCUUUUGUGGGGUGCUCGAGUGGCGAACGGGUGAGUAACACGUGAGUAACCUGCCCUUGACUUUGGGAUAACUUCAGGAAACUGGGGCUAAUACCGGAUAGGAGCUCCUGCUGCAUGGUGGGGGUUGGAAAGUUUCGGCGGUUGGGGAUGGACUCGCGGCUUAUCAGCUUGUUGGUGGGGUAGUGGCUUACCAAGGCUUUGACGGGUAGCCGGCCUGAGAGGGUGACCGGCCACAUUGGGACUGAGAUAAGGCCCAGACUCCUACGGGAGGCAGCAGGGGGGAAUAUUGCACAAUGGGCGGAAGCCUGAUGCAGCAACGCCGCGUGCGGGAUGACGGCCUUCGGGUUGUAAACCGCUUUCGCCUGUGACGAAGCGUGAGUGGCGGUAAUGGGUAAAGAAGCACCGGCUAACUACGUG
rnacentral:rRNA from 1 species